GGGUUGUGAGGUUAAGCGACUAAGCGUACACGGUGGAUGCCCUGGCAGUCAGAGGCGAUGAAGGACGUGCUAAUCUGCGAAAAGCGUCGGUAAGGUGAUAUGAACCGUUACAGCCGGCGAUGUCCGAAUGGGGAAACCCAGUGCAAUUCGUUGCACUAUCGUUAACUGAAUACAUAGGUUAACGAGGCGAACCGGGGGAACUGAAACAUCUAAGUACCCCGAGGAAAAGAAAUCAACCGAGAUUCCCCAGUAGCGGCGAGCGAACGGGGAGCAGCCCGGAGUCUGAAUCAGCUUGUGUGUUAGUGGAAGCGUCUGGAAAGUCGCAGGGUACAGGGUGAUACUCCCGUACACUAAAACACACAGGCUGUGAACUCGAAGAGUAGGGCGGGACACGUGGUAUCCUGUCUGAAUAUGGGGGGACCAUCCUCCAAGGCUAAAUACUCCUGACUGACCGAUAGUGAACCAGUACCGUGAGGGAAAGGCGAAAAGAACCCCGGCGAGGGGAGUGAAAAAGAACCUGAAACCGUGUACGUACAAGCAGUAGGAGCCCACUAGUUGGGUGACUGCGUACCUUUUGUAUAAUGGGUCAGCGACUUAUAUUCUGUAGCAAGGUUAACCGAAUAGGGGAGCCGCAGGGAAACCGAGUCUUAACUGGGCGUUAAGUUGCAGGGUAUAGACCCGAAACCCGGUGAUCUAGCCAUGGGCAGGUUGAAGGUUGGGUAACACUAACUGGAGGACCGAACCGACUAAUGUUGAAAAAUUAGCGGAUGACUUGUGGCUGGGGGUGAAAGGCCAAUCAAACCGGGAGAUAGCUGGUUCUCCCCGAAAGCUAUUUAGGUAGCGCCUCGUGAACUCAUCUUCGGGGGUAGAGCACUGUUUCGGCUAGGGGGUCAUCCCGACUUACCAACCCGAUGCAAACUACGAAUACCGAAGAAUGUUAUCACGGGAGACACACGGCGGGUGCUAACGUCCGUCGUGAAGAGGGAAACAACCCAGACCGCCAGCUAAGGUCCCAAAGUCAUGGUUAAGUGGGAAACGAUGUGGGAAGGCCCAGACAGCCAGGAUGUUGGCUUAGAAGCAGCCAUCAUUUAAAGAAAGCGUAAUAGCUCACUGGUCGAGUCGGCCUGCGCGGAAGAUGUAACGGGGCUAAACCAUGCACCGAAGCUGCGGCAGCGACGCUUAUGCGUUGUUGGGUAGGGGAGCGUUCUGUAAGCCGUUGAAGGUGGCCUGUGAGGGUUGCUGGAGGUAUCAGAAGUGCGAAUGCUGACAUAAGUAACGAUAAUGCGGGUGAAAAACCCGCACGCCGGAAGACCAAGGGUUCCUGUCCAACGUUAAUCGGGGCAGGGUGAGUCGACCCCUAAGGCGAGGCCGAAAGGCGUAGUCGAUGGGAAACAGGUUAAUAUUCCUGUACUUGGUGUUACUGCGAAGGGGGGACGGAGAAGGCUAUGUUGGCCGGGCGACGGUUGUCCCGGUUUAAGCAUGUAGGCGGAUGUUCCAGGUAAAUCCGGAACGUUAUUAACGCUGAGGUGUGAUGACGAGGCACUACGGUGCUGAAGUGACAAAUGCCCUGCUUCCAGGAAAAGCCUCUAAGCAUCAGGUAACAUCAAAUCGUACCCCAAACCGACACAGGUGGUCAGGUAGAGAAUACCAAGGCGCUUGAGAGAACUCGGGUGAAGGAACUAGGCAAAAUGGUGCCGUAACUUCGGGAGAAGGCACGCUGAUGGUAAGUGAAGUGACUUGCUCAUGGAGCUGAAAUCAGUCGAAGAUACCAGCUGGCUGCAACUGUUUAUUAAAAACACAGCACUGUGCAAACACGAAAGUGGACGUAUACGGUGUGACGCCUGCCCGGUGCCGGAAGGUUAAUUGAUGGGGUUAUCCUCGCGGAGAAGCUCUUGAUCGAAGCCCCGGUAAACGGCGGCCGUAACUAUAACGGUCCUAAGGUAGCGAAAUUCCUUGUCGGGUAAGUUCCGACCUGCACGAAUGGCGUAAUGAUGGCCAGGCUGUCUCCACCCGAGACUCAGUGAAAUUGAACUCGCUGUGAAGAUGCAGUGUACCCGCGGCAAGACGGAAAGACCCCGUGAACCUUUACUAUAGCUUGACACUGAACACUGGUCCUUGAUGUGUAGGAUAGGUGGGAGGCUUUGAAGUGUGGACGCCAGUCUGCAUGGAGCCGUCCUUGAAAUACCACCCUUUAAUGGCUGGUGUUCUAACGUGGGCCCGUGAUCCGGGUUGCGGACAGUGUCUGGUGGGUAGUUUGACUGGGGCGGUCUCCUCCUAAAGAGUAACGGAGGAGCACGAAGGUCAGCUAAUCCUGGUCGGACAUCAGGAGGUUAGUGCAAUGGCAUAAGCUGGCUUGACUGCGAGCGUGACGGCGCGAGCAGGUGCGAAAGCAGGUCAUAGUGAUCCGGUGGUUCUGAAUGGAAGGGCCAUCGCUCAACGGAUAAAAGGUACUCCGGGGAUAACAGGCUGAUACCGCCCAAGAGUUCAUAUCGACGGCGGUGUUUGGCACCUCGAUGUCGGCUCAUCACAUCCUGGGGCUGAAGUAGGUCCCAAGGGUAUGGCUGUUCGCCAUUUAAAGUGGUACGCGAGCUGGGUUUAGAACGUCGUGAGACAGUUCGGUCCCUAUCUGCCGUGGGCGCUGGAGAAUUGAGGGGGGCUGCUCCUAGUACGAGAGGACCGGAGUGGACGCAUCACUGGUGUUCGGGUUGUCAUGCCAAUGGCAUUGCCCGGUAGCUAAAUGCGGAAGAGAUAAGUGCUGAAAGCAUCUAAGCACGAAACUUGCCCCGAGAUGAGUUCUCCCUGACUCCUUGAGAGUCCUGAAGGAACGUUGAAGACGACGACGUUGAUAGGCCGGGUGUGUAAGCGCAGCGAUGCGUUGAGCUAACCGGUACUAAUGAACCGUGAGGCUUAACCUUACAACGCCGAAG
rnacentral:rRNA from 1 species